rnacentral:sRNA from 26 species
UUUCGUUAUCCUUCGCCAUCUAUUUGACACAUCUGGUUUAUCACACAUAAAAAAAGCGGCUGCAAAGCCGCUUGUUCUGUAUUG